AUGGAAAAAGAAGUUGUGUUUCUUCUUGAUGCUUGCAUACCUCCUUAUCAGUUAAGGGUUGAUGCAUUUAGAGCUCACAACAAUAUUCUCUAUAAAGUUCAACAACUAAAAAGAUUAGCUCUAGAUUCCGGUCCUUAUCCCCGAGAUCCACAACAAACCCUAGCUACAACCACCACCUUCACCAACCCAGAUUCAAAAUCAGGUAUCAAGUAUUAA